UGGGGAAUAUUGCACAAUGGGGGAAACCCUGAUGCAGCGACGCCGCGUGAAGGAAGAAGUAUCUCGGUAUGUAAACUUCUAUCAGCAGGGAAGAAAAUGACGGUACCUGACUAAGAAGCCCCGGCUAACUACGUGCCAGCAGCCGCGGUAAUACGUAGGGGGCAAGCGUUAUCCGGAUUUACUGGGUGUAAAGGGAGCGUAGACGGAGCAGCAAGUCUGAUGUGAAAAGGCGGGGGCUCAACCCCGCCAGCACGCUGCAAUUUGGAAAACUGUUGAUCUUGAGUACCGGAGAGGUAAGCGGAAUUCCUAGUGUAGCGGUGAAAUGCGUAGAUAUUAGGAGGAACACCAGUGGCGAAGGCGGCUUACUGGACGGUAAACUGACGUUGAGGCUCGAAAAGCGUGGGGAGCAAAACAGGAUUAGAUACC
rnacentral:rRNA from 1 species